ACCACGCCGGCGACAUCGACACCAGCAAGAGCACGAGCGGGAUUCUCUUCUUCCUCGGCGAGUGCCUCGUUAGCUGGCAGUCGGUCAAGCAGCAGGUGGUGGCCCUGUCCAGCUGCGAGGCCGAGUACAUGGCGGCAUCUGCCGCUUCGACCCAGGCGCUCUGGCUUGCUCGACUGCUUGGUGAUCUCCUCGGCAGAGACACUGGAGCAGUAGAGCUCAGGGUGGACAGCAAGUCCGCUCUGGCCCUGGCAAAGAACCCCGUUUUUCACGAACGGAGCAAGCACAUCCGGGUGAGGUACCACUUCAUUCGAAGCUACUUGGAGGAAGGGAGCAUCAAGGCGAGCUACAUCAACACCAAGGACCAGCUUGCGGACUUGCUCACCAAGCCUCUUGGGAGGAUCAAGUUCCUCGAGCUCUGCUCCAGGAUCGGGAUGGCCCAACUUUCCCACAAGACGACGCACAAGACUUAGGGGGAGAAUGAUGGAAUAAGCCUUGUGGUCUUUGGUCCUUGUGGUCCUUCUCUUGCUUUUAGGUUGUUUUUCCCCCUUUUAGGACAGCAUCCUUUCAGUUUUGCUUUUAGCAUCUUUCGGUUUUGCUUUUAGCAUCCCUAGGACAGCAUCUAGCAUCUCCUUUAUGCUUUAUUCAGUUUGGAUGCUCUCUAGGACAGCAUUGCGUUCAAAUUUUAGACUAGUGUGGGCAGCAAUUAGCUAGCAGCCAUCCAGCCAGCUAUGGCUAUAUAUAUGUAUCCAACCUCCCUCGGGAAGGUAUGGCUUUUGUGUUUUGUGAAUGAAGAAAACCAGAAAAUUGCCCCAUCUCGAGUGCCAUCCUCUUCUCAAUGAGAGUAACCAUUGAAAUUCUAACAUUUUUUGCUUUGUUGUAAGAGGCUAUCCCUGCCGGGCCGGCCCAAGAUAGGCCAACCAAAUUUACUUAAGAUUAGGGGAAAUGUCUUUGAAGAAAUCACUGUUGAAGGUGAAACUAUUCAGUCAAGCAGGUGGCCAUGUACAAGAUCAUUUGCAGACCCAGUAAAUUUUUUUCGAGAUAAGAACAGCCAUGAGAGGAGUGAUUCUCCAUCCUUGACAGCAGACUCCGCUGCCAAGAACAAUUCUCCUAGAACAGAUUCCUCACCGAAAAAUAGUGCAAGUGCUUUGGCCACAGAGAACAAUCUAACACCUGGGAAGAGACAACCAUCCAAGAAGAUCUGAUGGGAUAACAGUACGCUAGUUGGUUGUUUUCUGUUCGUCCGAAGUCUGAAGGUACGCAACUUGAAGCAUGUAAGCUAACUUGAAAGGCAAAUUCAACCUGCGCAUGUUUGUGGCCAAUGCUAGAUUCAUUUCAGUGAAGUUCCAGUAACAUCUGUAGUAAGAAAAACAUUGUAUUUGUGUUUGAUGUAUUAUAGACGAUUCCUGGUGAAGCAUUCAUUGGUUGCUCAAACUUUUGUCGAACUUUGGUUAUACUUUGAAUGUAACUGUUCAAUUUACUCUGCGACUACAUAGUCCUCGAUACACGAGUAGAUGAAAGCAUGAAACAAGUCUUUUACACUAUGGACCUUUGGUUGAUGACCCAGGAAGACAUUCUGAUGGUGCUUCUUUUCACACUUCAUGGUAAUGUUUCUAUUACUCAUCUGUAAUGUCCAUAUUCCCAAUAUUUGUUUUUUGCUGAUCCCAUUAUUUCCCAGUGCUAACAUACCAGUAUCAUGUUGAUCCCUGUACUCUUUAUAUGCAAAUAUUUGCACACACUUGAAAUGAUUUCAGUCCUUUAGGCAACACGUUGAGACAUGCUUCAGCUACUAUUUAUGGCAGUGUGAACUAUCCUAUUUUGACAUCUUGUUGAAAUUCGGUAGUAUUUGUUGAAAUUUUGUAGUGUUCUAUAGUUUUGUCCUAUAAAAAAGAGCUCCAUCACCACCACUACGAAGAAAUUAUAUUGUGCUUGUCCCAGGAUGUCCACUUGUUGUAUCAAGCUCUUGCUUUCUGGUCACCUUUGCAAUUUUGCUUGGUCCCUGUGAUGUGAACAUCUUACUGCCCUAUGCCUUUCUAUUUUGUAUUCACAUGCUCACGCAAGCUUGGACAGCGUUGUUUUAAUGGCACACUUGCCAGUUGCAAAUCUGAAUUGUUUGCCAAUACUUGAAACCUGCUACUGUCAUUGACAAUCAUUGCCAUGUUACUGCAAUAGCUUCAAUCGAUAUAUUUGCAAUUGUGUCAACAAAACAUUGAGUUUCUGCAUCUGCAAUUGAAUUAGAGCACAUCUGUCUGAAGGAUUUUGUGAGCUUAGACAUACUUUCAGAAGAGUGCAUAAUCAUCUAAAUGGUUUUUUUUGUGUUUGUGUGUGCACGAUACUGACUUGAUUUUGUAUCUUAGGUGCGCUCAGUGAAUUUGAUAUGUAACCCUUGCUAUCCACACUUAUUUUUCACGUGAGCAAGGUAAAAUUUUCUCUUCCAUUGUUGGUAACUAGAGAAUUGAACAAGGUACCAUAUCCUUGAGUAUUUGUCCCAUUAGUCUUUAAAAUCAUGUAUAUGCAUGUGAGAUCAUUUAGCUCUAUCAUUUUUAGAUAAUGAUAGUUCUCUCAUUUAUGCACAUCCAAUUUUCUAUUGAAGUUAAAAAACAAUGUCAGUUUGUCUCAAGCAUUGCAUGAGGUUCAGGAAAAUUCAUUCCAGUAAGUACCAGAUGGAUGGGUCUUAAUUCUUAUUAUGUGGUACCGUGAUUUAAUCCAAACAAUAUCCCCCUUGUUUGUCAUGGAAAUACAACUACUGGGCUACUACUGAAGAAAUGCAGAAGCGCAAAAGCGAACUGCAGCGACAUGGGCAAACCAUCAAGGCAUCAAACACAUCAUUUUCAGAGGAAAGCAUCAUCCGUUGAUAACAGACCAAUGAAACAAAUGGACAGGAGGAAAGGAACCUACAAAACCUUUAUGUGACAACUACAAUAUACAGAAAAUCAAGUGAAACAGGAGAAGAUCAAACCUUUAUUUGACAACUGAAAAUCAAAUAAUUAUGCGCGAACUAGGGAAGCGCAUAACGACAAAAAUAUUGCGCAGCAAUAAGCAAUUGGAUUGGGGGAAUGUGACGCCAUCGGAGCGAGCCACUUUUGCAAAAGCAUGGACAUGAAGAUUUCGGAUGAUUGAGGCGACCAUCCACCGUUGAGGUGGGCCCCACCUUUCAGUGACCCAGGCCCCCGCUGCCCUGCUGGCUGAAAUGGAUAGUUGGGCUUCCGUUCUAUCAGAGUGGCAGCCGCAGCACCGAGAGAUGGCCACUAAUCAGGACAUAACCACGAUCAUCACGAACAUUAUGAACAGUGACUGACUUUGUUUUGUGGGUACUCGUUUUAUAAAGGAGUGGGCACCAAAGGAGAUGAGAACUGAAGCCAACAGCGAGUGUAUAGUUCAACUGGUGCAUACUUUUCUCUUUCGAGAAUACGCAGAACAGAUGCGUAUCUUGGCACUAAGAAGAAAAAUAAUGGGCUCAAGAACAACCAUGCCUAUGCCUGCAAGCAACAGCUCUGCUCCUUGAAAAGUGGGAUUAACGGCGUCCACAAAACUUGGUGGAUAUUGAUAUCUUUGCUUUGAGGAGGCAUCGAUGUACCAUCUCCUUCGAGGCAAAGUUGCAAAGACCAUGAGUGAGCCUAAGAAAAAGAGAGCUCCCCAUCAGCUUGAGAUGAUAUGCUGGGGGUUGAGACUCCAACUGCGGUGCAUUAUUAUGAACUCAUGCUGCUACAUUUAUGGUGUUUUCCAUUAGCUACCUUGCCUGCCAUUGUAAUUGCAAAUGUUCUAUCACACGGUCUAUUAUGUGUCUCCCAUCUGGUCUCCAAAACAGUUUUCCUCUUUCGUUCUAGUCUUUGAGAAGAAAAAGACUUCCGUUCACCGAAAUGAUGGUCAAGCUGUCCGAAGCAUGAACCAGAGACUUGUUCUUGAAAAUAGAGGGAGUUGCACGUAAUUCUGAAAACUUUGGCGGGUGAAAAGUAUAUAGAUGACUCCUGAAAAAUUGUGCUCCUUUUCCAUUUGUUCUAGAAAAAACAGAUAGUGGAUCCAAGAUUGCAAUUUAA